rnacentral:rRNA from 1 species
CCAACAGGGAUUGCCCUAGUAACGGCGAGUGAAGCGGCAACGGCUCAAAUUUGAAAUCUGGCGCAAGCCCGAGUUGUAAUUUGUAGAGGAUGCUUCUGGGUAGCGGCCGGUCUAAGUUCCUUGGAACAGGACGUCAUAGAGGGUGAGAAUCCCGUAUGUGACUGGUUGGCGCCCUCCACGUAGCUCCUUCGACGAGUCGAGUUGUUUGGGAAUGCAGCUCUAAAUGGGUGGUAAAUUUCAUCUAAAGCUAAAUACCGGCCAGAGACCGAUAGCGCACAAGUAGAGUGAUCGAAAGAUGAAAAGCACUUUGGAAAGAGAGUUAAAAAGCACGUGAAAUUGUUGAAAGGGAAGCGCUU